rnacentral:rRNA from 1 species
CUACGGGUUGCUGCAGUGAGGAAUAUUGCGCAAUGGGCGAAAGCCUGACGCAGCGACGCCGCGUGGGGGAUGAAGGUCUUCGGAUUGUAAACCCCUUUCAGGAGGGAAGAUGGCCUGCCUCCGGCAGGCGGACGGUACCUCCAGAAGCAGCCACGGCUAACUUCGUGCCAGCAGCCGCGGUAAUACGAAGGUGGCAAGCGUUGGUCGGAUUUACUGGGCGUACAGGGAGCGUAGGUGGUUUGGUAAGCCCUCCGGGAAAGCUCCCGGCUUAACCGGGAAAGGUGGGGGGGAACUGCCAGGCUAGAGGACGGGAGAGGGGGGCGGAAUUCCCGGUGUAGCGGUGAAAUGCGUAGAGAUCGGGAGGAAGGCCGGUGGCGAAGGCGGCGCUCUGGAACGUUCCUGACACUGAGGCUCGAAAGCGUGGGGAGCAAACAGGAUUAGAUACCCGAGUAGUC